rnacentral:rRNA from 1 species
CGCGUAAAGAACUUGCCUCACAGCUAGGGACAACAUUUGGAAACGAAUGCUAAUACCUAAUAUUAUGAUAAUAGAGCAUCCUAUAAUUAUGAAAGCUAUAAGCGCUGUGAGAGAGCUUUGCGCCCCAUUAGCUAGUUGGAGAGGUAACGGCUCACCAAGGCGAUGAUGGGUAGCCGGCCUGAGAGGGUGAUCGGCCACAAGGGGACUGAGACACGGCCCUU